rnacentral:rRNA from 1 species
AGUGAACGCUGGCGGUAGGCCUAACACAUGCAAGUCGAACGGCAGCACAGGAGAGCUUGCUUUCUAGGUGGCGAGUGGCGGACGGGUGAGGAAUACAUCGGAAUCUGCCCAGUCGUGGGGGAUAACGUAGGGAAACUUACGCUAAUACCGCAUACGACCUUCGGGUGAAAGAGGGGGAUCGCAAGACCUCUCGCGAUUGGAUGAGCCGAUGUCGGAUUAGCUAGUUAGCGGGGUAAUGGCCCACCAAGGCGACGAUCCGUAGCUGGUCUGAGAGGAUGAUCAGCCACACUGGAACUGAGACACGGUCCAGACUCCUACGGGAGGCAGCAGUGGGGAAUAUUGGACAAUGGGCGCAAGCCUGAUCCAGCCAUACCGCGUGGGUGAAGAAGGCCUUCGGGUUGUAAAGCCCUUUUGUUGGGAAAGAAAUCUUUCAGGCUAAUACCCUGGGAGGAUGACGGUACCCAAAGAAUAAGCACCGGCUAACUUCGUG